CUCAGGCAAGGAUUCUUCUCCAGAUUUGACCUCCCUUCUCUGGGCUCAAAAGGACUUGCUCGUGCCCUGGUCAUAACAGGGCUCAGGCACCCAAGCCAGGCACCAAGAAGCAUGUGUGUGAAUAAGGCAUGCUCACUGCCUAUGAGAAGCUUCCGCCUAGUGACCCUUCAAAACGAUAACAAAACAAAACACACACGUACAAGACCCCAUCUACAAAUCUGCAGUCACGCAGAUACACACCAAAACCAGAGCAAUAAAAGCAGUACUAUCUGAGCCAAUAGCAGAAACCAACGUGUAAGUCAAACUUUGCUCAGGGCCCAUUCCAGGGAAAAGGAGUGGCUGGCUUGGAAGUUCUGCCAGGGUUUGCCUGUUCCUCAGGGAUGUCUGGCUUUCUGGUGGUGCCACCUGGUGGUG